rnacentral:rRNA from 1 species
ACACGUGGUAUCCUGUCUGAAUAUGGGGGGACCAUCCUCCAAGGCUAAAUACUCCUGACUGACCGAUAGUGAACCAGUACCGUGAGGGAAAGGCGAAAAGAACCCCGGCGAGGGGAGUGAAAAAGAACCUGAAACCGUGUACGUACAAGCAGUGGGAGCACCCUUCGGGGUGUGACUGCGUACCUUUUGUAUAAUGGGUCAGCGACUUAUAUUCUGUAGCAAGGUUAACCGAAUAGGGGAGCCGGAGGGAAACCGAGUCUUAAUUGGGCGUUAAGUUGCAGGGUAUAGACCCGAAACCCGGUGAUCUAGCCAUGGGCAGGUUGAAGGUUGGGUAACACUAACUGGAGGACCGAACCGACUAAUGUUGAAAAAUUAGCGGAUGACCUGUGGCUGGGGGUGAAAGGCCAAUCAAACCGGGAGAUAGCUGGUUCUCCCCGAAAGCUAUUUAGGUAGCGCCUCGUGAAUUCAUCUCCGGGGGUAGAGCACUGUUUCGGCUAGGGGGCCAUCCCGGCUUACCAACCCGAUGCAAACUGCGAAUACCGGAGAAUGUUAUCACGGGAGACACACGGCGGGUGCUAACGUCCGUCGUGAAGAGGGAAACAACCCAGACCGCCAGCUAAGGUCCCAAAGUCAUGGUUAAGUGGGAAACGAUGUGGGAAGGCCCAGACAGCCAGGAUGUUGGCUUAGAAGCAGCCAUCAUUUAAAGAAAGCGUAAUAGCUCACUGGUCGAGUCGGCCUGCGCGGAAGAUGUAACGGGGCUAAACCAUGCACCGAAGCUGCGGCAGCGAACGUAUCACCCAAGACAACUUUACGGAGUUGACGAUUGACGGAGCGAAGCGACGUCAAAGCGUUCAUUAAAGUCGAGUUGGCUUAGGGAUACGUUCGUUGGGUAGGGGAGCGUUCUGUAAGCCGUUGAAGGUGUGUCGUGAGGCAUGCUGGAGGUAUCAGAAGUGCGAAUGCUGACAUAAGUAACGAUAAAGCGGGUGAAAAGCCCGCUCGCCGGAAGACCAAGGGUUCCUGUCCAACGUUAAUCGGGGCAGGGUGAGUCGACCCCUAAGGCGAGGCCGAAAGGCGUAGUCGAUGGGAAACGGGUUAAUAUUCCCGUACUUGGUGUUACUGCGAAGGGGGGACGGAGAAGGCUAUGUUGGCCGGGCGACGGUUGUCCCGGUUUAAGCGUGUAGGUGUGUGUUCCAGGUAAAUCCGGUUCACUUUAACACUGAGGCGUGACGACGAGGCACUACGGUGCUGAAGCAACAAAUGCCCUGCUUCCAGGAAAAGCCUCUAAGCAUCAGGUAACAUCAAAUCGUACCCCAAACCGACACAGGUGGUCAGGUAGAGAAUACCAAGGCGCUUGAGAGAACUCGGGUGAAGGAACUAGGCAAAAUGGUGCCGUAACUUCGGGAGAAGGCACGCUGACACGUAGGUGAAGUGAUUUACUCAUGGAGCUGAAGUCAGUCGAAGAUACCAGCUGGCUGCAACUGUUUAUUAAAAACACAGCACUGUGCAAACACGAAAGUGGACGUAUACGGUGUGACGCCUGCCCGGUGCCGGAAGGUUAAUUGAUGGGGUCAGCGCAAGCGAAGCUCCUGAUCGAAGCCCCGGUAAACGGCGGCCGUAACUAUAACGGUCCUAAGGUAGCGAAAUUCCUUGUCGGGUAAGUUCCGACCUGCACGAAUGGCGUAAUGAUGGCCAGGCUGUCUCCACCCGAGACUCAGUGAAAUUGAACUCGCUGUGAAGAUGCAGUGUACCCGCGGCAAGACGGAAAGACCCCGUGAACCUUUACUAUAGCUUGACACUGAACAUUGAGCCUUGAUGUGUAGGAUAGGUGGGAGGCUUUGAAGCGUGGACGCCAGUCUGCGUGGAGCCGACCUUGAAAUACCACCCUUUAAUGUUUGAUGUUCUAACGUGGACCCGU